AAGGCCCAGGUGUCGAAAUCUCCCUUCCCUCUCGUCCUUCCCCUCAAAUUGGAUGUCCCAAAUUCUUUUUUCCGUUGAGCAAUUGUACUAUUCAGUCGAAAAAUCCUACUCCUUUGUCAUCCUCUCGAUGUUAGGGAGGAUUUUUUGGGGGAGGAAUUGAAAAAAAAAAAAGAGAAGACACUAGUUCGAGAGACAACUUACAUUUAAGAGGUUGAAGGCAACAUAUAGAAACCAAAUUUGAAGUGAUGCUAAGGUUCUCAACGUUUGAGCCAGCUUCUAUCCGGUCCCUUCCUCGUUCCUUUCUUAUUCACUCACCGUCUUCCAUUGUGGUCGUGGAAAGCUGUUUCCCUCGCUCGUAUAGUCUCAGUCGCUGCUUGGAGAAAGGAAGCAGAUGGACAGGUUUUGACGACUAUAUGGUGCUGGAAAUUCAUUUUUUAGUCCUUGAAAGUCGAAAAAAAAGAUGAUAUACCGGAUGUAUACACUGGUAUACGGUAGAAAUAUAUGGUAUAUAGUUGAUUACGUGCCAAUACAGGAAAAACGUAGAAAUACGAAGAUCUGGAAACAUUUACAGGUCUGGGAGCUCAAUGAUUAUCGAUAUACAUGACGUAUACACAGGAUAUACACUCCAUGUAUAUCAAGGAGGACAAAAGAAAGGAAAGGGGGCCAGAAGCCCAAUGAAUAAUUCAGCAGGCCCGACUGGUUUCGAAAUGGGCAAGACCUAUUUUGGGUCAUUCUUUUAAAAUGGGACAAAGCUACAAGAUUUAGAGUUUGGGCUUGGCCCAAGUUCAAAUAUUUCUUCCUUCUAUUAUUAACUAUGUGUUAUUAUUGUUACAUUGACUAACUUUUGGUGGAAUUUUGUUUAUUCCCAAGGAUAGCCAUUUCUUUCUAUAUUCAAUAUAUAAAUAUUUAUUUUACCUA